AGUCCUGGAUGUCGAACCACACCGGCAUUUCUGGUUGACUUGCACUAAACAAGGAGGGCAAUCACCUGAAUGGCACAACUCGUUGCAAGUAUGUAAUCCACAAGGAAGAAGCUUACUGCAUAGGUUUGAGCAAGAAGGAAUUGGGUCCAAGCAACUCUGCCUGGUCUGUUCUUCUAGACGCGUUUUCCCACAAUAGCACGUCUUAACUCUACUCGUUGCUGAUCUCCACGCAGCGGCUUGAAUAUCUGUAGAUGAUCCUCCAAUGGGGGAAUCUUCAGCUCCCCAGUUCUCAUCACUCUCCUGAAUCACUGCUUUCUUCCAUGGAUUUGCUUUCUGUACAUCCCAGGAUGAGCUGCUAGGUAGUUUUCCCCAUGCAUUACCACCGAGUGAUGGAGAUUGCUGACCGUUCUGGACGACCACUGCUCCAUGGUAUACAGAACCGUGGUCCAGCCUCCUCAUGGCAGUGGCGGCUCGGGCAUGGUCGUGGAACACGGCCAAAGCGUUCUUGUCAUUCAGCCAAACAAGCUCACAUUCACCUCCAAAUCUCAGCACCAAAGCGCUGAUAUUCGCCUCCCUCGGGAGAUCCAGUAAUGACACCACCAGCCUAGGAUCCAUAUCCACCAGCGGAUCAAAGGACGGUGGGUGAGGCCCGCCUAGCGAGACAGCGCCACCCCUAGCUCCAAUGAUUCGUGUUGGCGGUUUUGACUUUUGUGUUACGUGGACCACUGUAAACCGUUUUGGCUCCCACCCUGCAUUGCUAACCGCAAGUUUCCAUCUCUCAGCUAGAAGUCUAACCGUGUCUCGUUUAUCCUUUUGCAUCGGGCAGAAUACAUGGACCUUAAGGGUGCUUGUGCUUCCUCUAGCCUUCCCAAGUACCAGGUACUUGAAGCGCUCUUCAACAGCCAGUACCCACUUAGGAUCACGCCUAUAGAUGUCCGAAAUAAUCUCUGUCAUAGCAGCAUUCUCGCUAAAAUGUAAAGAGUCCAGAUUUGGGGGAGUGAUAUCAAACGCGUCUUGAAGAACACGCUUACGCUCCAGUUUAGCACACUCAUCAUCACACGAAAGCUUUCGCUGCCCGAGAGGGAUUCGGCUUCCAUUCGACUCAACAGGCUGAAGCGAAGUUGGAAGCUUCUGCAAAACAGAGGCUUCAUAGAUAGAAUCAACACUAAGAUUGCUGGUACUUCCUCCUCCCGCAUCGCAAGGAACAGUAGCGGUUAUGCGACCACACGAACAUGUUAUUGUGACUGGAAAUUCACAUCUUGUGUCAGGGCAAGGCUGCGAAGGAUGGCAAAGAGCUGCACAAGUGUGCCUGCAAUCUCUUCUAGGAGCACUACAAGUCUGUCCACAUGUAACACGCAGAGCUGCUUCAGAUUCAUUGUAAGUGUCACAUGCCUCCGGGUGGCAAGUUCUGGCACAAGCAUGCAUGCCACAACGCCUCGUCUUUCCACAAAUCUUGUUACAUCUGAUGUCUUUCAGCCCACAAGGUAUGUUUCUCAGAACCACGUGACCACCAACGCAUUUCUUUUCCACUGGGGCAGAACAAGGAGGGCAAUCUCCAAAAUGGCAUCCAUGCGUAGCAGAAUGGCCACAAGGCUGAGGAAUGGAGCAUGGAAGCUGGCAGCUAGGAACAGGCGUCCCGCAUGGUAGUGGUGGAGGAAUCGAAGUAUUUCCACACGCACAUGUUAGAUCAGUGAAUAUCAUCUCGAGGCAAGGAGGGCAAUGGCCACUAUGGCACAAAGAUUCACAGGAAUGCUGCCCGCACCUUAGCUUCUUCCCACAAGGUAAUUGGCAUACGUGUUCGUCCCAAUCACCGGAUAGAUCAUUCUUCUUCGCGUUCAAGAGAGGGCAGCAACGCUCACUACAUCUAUGUCUCCCACAAUUCUUCUUACGCCCACAUGGUUUAGAACACACAAACUUAUCCGUCUCUGAAGAAGUUGUUAUGUAGCAUUCCACAGUCCUGGAUGUCGAACCACACCGGCAUUUCUGGUUGACUUGCACUAAACAAGGAGGGCAAUCACCUGAAUGGCACAACUCGUUGCAAGUAUGUAAUCCACAAGGAAGAAGCUUACUGCAUAGGUUUGAGCAAGAAGGAAUUGGGUCCAAGCAACUCUGCCUGGUCUGUUCUUCUAGACGCGUUUUCCCACAAUAGCACGUCUUAACUCUACUGGGCAGUAAGUCACAGUCUCCGCAAGGUCCAG
rnacentral:lncRNA from 1 species